rnacentral:rRNA from 1 species
AUACGGAGGACGCGAGCGUUAUCCGGAUUCAUUGGGUUUAAAGGGUGCGCAGGCGGCCGUGCAAGUCAGCGGUGAAAGCCCGGGGCUCAACCCCGGAAGUGCCGUUGAUACUGCGUGGCUGGAAUGCGGUCGAGGCGGGCGGGACGGUGGGUGGAGAGGGGAAAUGCGUAGAUAUGCCACAGAACGCCGAUAGCGGAGGCAGCUCGCCAGGCCUGCAUUGACGCUCGGGCACGAAAGCGUGGGGAUCGAACAGGAUUAGAUACCCUGGUAGUCCACGCCGUAAACGAUGGGCGCUCGUCGUCGGCGACAGACAGUCGGCGGCCAAGCGAAAGCGAUAAGCGCCCCACCUGGGGAGUACGGUCGCAAGGCUGAAACUCAAAUGAAUUGACGGGG